UAGCUGCCUUAAAACGCUGGGAUUGACUUAAACAACCUACCAGAGGUGAAUGAGUUAUUUGAUGAAGACAACCCAAUCUCAAAUCCUUUUGCUGGUAUUGACCAAGAGUAUCUCCAAUAUGAAUACUACAAGAAGGAGUUUAAUCUUGUGGAACCACAAAAGAUUGUUCUUGGAAAAUACCACACAAAGAAAAGAAGAGGAAAUAGAUUGAGAGAUGUCGAAAAAACAGAUGAUGCAUACUAUAUUCCCUUGUUGGAAAGUCUGCAACAGCUUCUUAAUGAUGAGUCAAUUCUUAACGAGGUGGAAAAUCCUCAUUUUU